GACGAACGCUGGCGGCGCGCCUAAUACAUGCAAGUAGAACGCUGAAGCGAGGAGCUUGCUCUUCUUGGAUGAGUUGCGAACGGGUGAGUAACGCGUAGGUAACCUGCCUGGUAGCGGGGGAUAACUAUUGGAAACGAUAGCUAAUACCGCAUAAAAUUGAUUAUUGCAUGAUAAUUAAUUGAAAGAUGCAACUGCAUCACUACCAGAUGGACCUGCGUUGUAUUAGCUAGUUGGUGAGGUAACGGCUCACCAAGGCGACGAUACAUAGCCGACCUGAGAGGGUGAUCGGCCACACUGGGACUGAGACACGGCCCAGACUCCUACGGGAGGCAGCAGUAGGGAAUCUUCGGCAAUGGGGGGAACCCUGACCGAGCAACGCCGCGUGAGUGAAGAAGGUUUUCGGAUCGUAAAGCUCUGUUGUAAGAGAAGAACGGGUGUGAGAGUGGAAAGUUCACACUGUGACGGUAUCUUACCAGAAAGGGACGGCUAACUACGUG
rnacentral:rRNA from 1 species